rnacentral:rRNA from 1 species
GAUGAACGCUAGCUACAGGCUUAACACAUGCAAGUCGAGGGGCAUCAGGAAGAAAGCUUGCUUUCUUUGCUGGCGACCGGCGCACGGGUGAGUAACACGUAUCCAACCUGCCCUUUACUCGGGGAUAGCCUUUCGAAAGAAAGAUUAAUACCCGAUGGCAUAAUGAUUCCGCUUGGUUUCAUUAUUAAAGGAUUCCGGUAAAGGAUGGGGAUGCGUUCCAUUAGGUUGUUGGUGAGGUAACAGCCCACCAAGCCUUCGAUGGAUAGGGGUUCUGAGAGGAAGGUCCCCCACAUUGGAACUGAGACACGGUCCAAACUCCUACGGGAGGCAGCAGUGAGGAAUAUUGGUCAAUGGGCGGUAGCCUGAACCAGCCAAGUAGCGUGAAGGAUGAAGGCUCUAUGGGUCGUAAACUUCUUUUAUAUAAGAAUAAAGUGCAGUAUGUAUACUGUUUUGUAUGUAUUAUAUGAAUAAGGAUCGGCUAACUCCGUGCCAGCAGCCGCGGUAAUACGGAGGAUCCGAGCGUUAUCCGGAUUUAUUGGGUUUAAAGGGAGCGUAGGUGGACUGGUAAGUCAGUUGUGAAAGUUUGCGGCUCAACCGUAAAAUUGCAGUUGAUACUGUCAGUCUUGAGUACAGUAGAGGUGGGCGGAAUUCGUGGUGUAGCGGUGAAAUGCUUAGAUAUCACGAAGAACUCCGAUUGCGAAGGCAGCUCACUGGACUGCAACUGACACUGAUGCUCGAAAGUGUGGGUAUCAAACAGG